rnacentral:rRNA from 1 species
CCUACGGGUGGCAGCAGUGAGGAAUAUUGGUCAAUGGCCGGAAGGCUGAACCAGCCAAGCCGCGUGAGGGAGGAAGGCGCAGAGCGUCGCAGACCUCUUUUGCCGGGGGACAAAAGGCCGGACUCGUCCCGUCCUGAGAGUACCCGGCGAAAAAGCAUCGGCUAACUCCGUGCCAGCAGCCGCGGUAAUACGGAGGAUUCGAGCGUUAUCCGGUUUUAUUGGGUUUAAAGGGUGCGCGGGCGGGCCUUUAAGCCGGCGGUGAAAUCCCGGGGCUAAACCCCGCCCCGCCGUUGGAACUGGGGGCCUUGAGUGCGGCGGAGGCAUGCGGAAUGCGCGGUGUAGCGGUGAAAUGCAUAGAUAUCGCGCAGAACCCCGAUUGCGAAGGCAGCGUGCCGUGCCGCCACUGACGCUGAGGCACGAAAGCGCGGGGAUCGAACAGGAUUAGAUACCCGAGUAGUC